rnacentral:rRNA from 1 species
AACGCGAAGAACCUUACCUGGGCUCGAAAUGUUAUGGACCGGGGUAGAAAUAUCCCCUCCCAGCAAUGGGCCGUAAUAUAGGUGCUGCAUGGCUGUCGUCAGCUCGUGUCGUGAGAUGUUGGGUUAAGUCCCGCAACGAGCGCAACCCUUAUCUUCAGUUGCUACCAUUUAGUUGAGCACUCUGACGAAACCGCCUCGGAUAACGGGGAGGAAGGUGGGGAUGACGUCAAGUCCUCAUGGCCUUUAUGUCCAGGGCUACACACGUGCUACAAUGGCCGGUACAAACCGUCGCAAACCCGCGAGGGGGAGCUAAUCGGAAAAAGCCGUCCUCAGUUCGGAUCGCAGUCUGCAACUCGACUGCGUGAAGCUGGAAUCGCUAGUAAUCGCGGAUCAGAACGCCGCGGUGAAUACGUUCCCGGGCCUUGUA